rnacentral:lncRNA from 1 species
AUUUGUGCAAAACUGUGGUUGUGCCGUACACAAACAAAAAUAAAACAAAGGAGAUAUAGACACCUGGCCAAUUACAGCAAUUGCAGUCACAACUAAACCAAGUAAAACAAAGCUGCAGACAGGCCAAGAAAAGCUCAAGCAAAGCAAGAGUAAAAAACCUUGGUCCUGAGGCCUUGAAAGUUCGCUACAAAGCUUAUGGCCUGUGGAGAGCAAUGGCAGUACAGAAUGACAGAGCUGACAGUUAACCCAACUAUGUUUUUCUGAACAAAAUUUAACUAGUGGAGCUGAUCAUUGCUUGAUGUUUGGUGAGCACUUCCCCCCCGACCCCAGCACAAAAAGCACUAAUGUCUGAAUUAGUGAAAAUAAAGCAUUCAUGCUAUUUUUAUUGCUAUGUUAAUAAAUCUUAUCGUUGAUUUCAGCGAUGGCACUUAUGGUCUUCUCAAAGAGCGAGGUGGCACAGACAGGUAGUAGGACUAGUCUCAUCAGUUAUUUCAGCUAAAUCUGCCUAUGAAUGAGCUGGAGCCUGUGAACGAGUUGGUUGCAGAUGGAGGGUGACGGGGGCUGUCUGGCUGCUGUGGAGAGCAGAGGCUGAAGGCUGUGUUGAGUUAAAAACAAGAAGCAAAUACAGACUUCUCUACCACAAGACACUGAUCUUCUGGAGACCAGGGCAGGAUCUAGUUCAGAUUGCCAUAUCUCCAUGUGAAUUAGGUAUGUUAACCUUCCCUACCCUCAAUAGAGUGAAUAUAUUCUACAAGUAAUUCAACUGAACAAAGAUAAAUGUCCACUCUGGGAGAGCUAAAUUGUUGUCCAGGCUCUAUUGCCUGGAUUUCCAUUGAUGAAAUGGGAGCAUAGCUACCAGUGGAAUCUACUACCAUCGCGACCUGAACCAUCCAGACCUCAUUGAUCCAACUCCUCUUUGAAUUACUUUUUUUUUUUUUUUUGCAUACACUGAUUUCUUCUUGAGGAAGCAGAAGUGGCAAGAGGAAGUGGCUGUGAGUGAUCUUAGAAGAUUUACCCUCAUUUCAGAUGCAUGAGAACCGACGUACAGAAAAUCUUCAGAUGAGCUUGUGAACUUUGUGCACCUCAUUUUCUUAUAAGGUGGAAGAAUUUGAAAGAUCUUUGUUUUCAACAUGUACCCUAGAAGUGGGCAGUGCAGUGAAUGGGUGUGCAGAACCCUUUUGCCAGUCUGGAACAUAUAGAAGUCUAUGGCUGCUGAGCACUUUGGAAACUGA